rnacentral:rRNA from 1 species
UACGGGGGGGGCAAGCGUUGUUCGGAAUUACUGGGCGUAAAGCGUGCGUAGACGGUUACAUAAGUCGGGUGUGAAAGCCCCGGGCUCAACCUGGGAAUUGCAUUCGAGACUGCGUAGCUAGGGUGCGGAAGAGGGAAGCGGAAUUUCCGGUGUAGCGGUGAAAUGCGUAGAUAUCGGAAGGAAGACCAGUGGCGAAGGCGGGUCUCUGGACAGUUCCUGACGCUGAGGCACGAAGGCCAGGGGAGCAAACGGG